UACGUAGGGCGCAAGCGUUAUCCGGAAUUAUUGGGCGUAAAGAGCUCGUAGGCGGUUUGUCGCGUCUGCUGUGAAAACCCGAGGCUCAACCUCGGGCCUGCAGUGGGUACGGGCAGACUAGAGUGCGGUAGGGGAGAUUGGAAUUCCUGGUGUAGCGGUGGAAUGCGCAGAUAUCAGGAGGAACACCGAUGGCGAAGGCAGAUCUCUGGGCCGUAACUGACGCUGAGGAGCGAAAGCAUGGGAGCGAACAGG
rnacentral:rRNA from 1 species